rnacentral:snRNA from 1 species
AGCUUUGCGCAGUGGCAGUAUCGUAGCCAAUGAGGUUUAUCCGAGGCGCAAUUAUUGCUAAUUAAAAAUUAUACUAAGUUGA